GCGCGCGUAGCUCAGGGGUAGAGCAGGUGGCUCUUAACCACUUGGUCGGGGGUUCAAAUCCCUCCGCGCGCA
rnacentral:tRNA from 1 species